rnacentral:lncRNA from 1 species
CGUCACAAUUUUCAGGCUUAUCUUGCUGUUUUGGUGUUUGUUCGACGUUCAAGUUGUUGCCUUGUGCGUGUUUGGCUAUGUGAGGACCGGUCAUACAUUCUGCUCUGCCGCGUUGACUCACGGGCUUGACCUUCUUACGGCCCCUCAUAUCUAUCCUAUGAUCGAUAAUACUAAGUUCUGCACACUACGGAGCAAUCCGGCAGCAAUGGACGUUUUUGGCUGGAGGAAUGAAAAUGUACGGGUCGGCCUCAAUUCAUUCCGUUUU